CCUACGGGAGGCAGCAGUGGGGAAUAUUGCACAAUGGGGGAAACCCUGAUGCAGCGACGCCGCGUGAGUGAAGAAGGAUUUCGGUAUGUAAAGCUCUAUCAGCAGGGAAGAAAAUGACGGUACCUGAUUAAGAAGCCCCGGCUAACUACGUGCCAGCAGCCGCGGUAAUACGUAGGGGGCAAGCGUUAUCCGGAUUUACUGGGGGUAAAGGGGGCGUAGACGGCAGAGCAAGUCUGAAGUGAAAUGCCGGGGCUUAACCCCGGAACUGCUUUGGAAACUGUGCAGCUAGAGUGCAGGAGAGGUAAGUGGAAUGCCUAGUGUAGCGGUGAAAUGCGUAUAUAUUAGGAGGAACACCAGUGGCGAAGGCGGCUUACUGGACUGUAACUGACGUUGAGGCUCGAAAGCGUGGGGAGCAAACAGGAUUAGAUACCCCUGUAGUC
rnacentral:rRNA from 1 species